CGACUGCCACAUCCACCCGAGGGGGAGGGACGCGCGAGGGUCGGAAGACUUGUUAGGAGUCCAUUGCCCAUCAAGAUCAACAACUAGUUAUCGCGCAGCUUUUUUUUUUUAAAUUUGGGAAGAACUUAAAUAGAUCCUCAAUGUUAAUUGAGUGUUCUUGCUACAAAUGGUAGCAUUUAAGCAUUUUUCUUGACCACAUUUACAAAAAGAAGGAAUAGAGACUUCUGUAAUUAAAGGGAAAAGGAAAAUGAAAGGAGCUGAAAAUACUGAACUGUGGAGUCCGGGUGGCUUAAGUUUGAAAACACAUGAGAUUAUUAGGACUGCCAAACAGCGUUUCUGAGAAACCAUAUCACAGAUUGUGGAGAAAAUCAAUGCUGAAAGAGUAGGAGCAGGCGCGGAACUCCUCCUUUCAAGAAUCCCAGAAAUAGUUGCUGAGUUGCUUUUUUUUUUAUUUCUGCUGAGGAUAGAAAAUGACAAAUUGAAAAUAAAAUCAUUAACUAUAUCUUAAGCACCACUCUGUAUGUCUGGGGAACUUUGGAUAAUGACUUUCCUUUAGAUUUUGCGAUGGGGAAGGAAUUCAUUCACAUUGAUACACCCUAAGUAAUGGAUACCAUAUAACUUGUAUAGUACUGUAUUCACCUUUUAUAAUGAAUUACUUUUUUAAAGUUUAUUAGACAUUUGUAACGAAUAGGCUGGUAGUUAAAUUAUGAAAAAUGAUAGUUGGUGCCAUACUGAAAACAAGAUUAACCAAUAUUCAAUGAAAAGCAAAUCAUUUGGGCUCAGGCCAGCAAUGACUUUACAACAGUUUUAAGAAAAAUUGAAGUUCUGGUGAGUUAUAUUUUGGCAAAGCCAUUUUUUUGGUUGUUUUUGUUUUUAACGUAUCUGUCAAUUAUCUAAAUAAAAGUAAUUUUCUUGAAGUCAUAUUUGGGAAACACAGCAUAGAAUUCCACAAGUCAUUUUAAUCAUCCCAAAAGAUACCAAACACUUUAAUCUUAAAUUAGCUUAGAAAAGUGGAAUGCUGAUUCCCAGGAUAUAAAGGGUAGCUUAACUUCUCUAAACUGCCGUAAAUCUCUCCUAAAAACUUAAGCCUAAGUGUUUGAGUAUCUACAGAGUUAUGGAGACCCUUAGAACAAGGUGACUUAAAACUGAAAAUUAAGAUGAACUAUCUGGAUAACUUAAGCAUUUUAAUUCUUUAGUAGAGGAAGAAUCAAUGUGAAGUCUUAAGGAAUCAUCCUGAAGUUCCUCAGAUCUACCACAGUUGAUAAAGUCCUUGCCCCCUGGCUGAUGAGAGCUUAAUUUAGCUCCCUUGAAAGACUAUCCUUGACAAGAUCAUGGCGUAUCCAGUUUACGGCAGAGAAGUCAAGAUUAUAUUGACGAACUGCAACUAGGAUUCUGUUUCAUGCUCCGCAGUUGUAGCCCUGGCUCUGAGACUCACAGUUCCACGUGUGGAAAGGAACCUUUAUAUAAACUGCAGUAAUUCACUUUGUUCACAGUUUUUCUCAACAGUGGUGGUGUUCUCUUUGAAGCGCUGUUCUGUGUGCAAGCGAGAUGUGGAACACUGCUCUCACUGUCUCCUGCCGACCGAGAUUGGCACCAUGAAGAAGUAAGGAAGCCAGAAUUGGAUCCACAGUUUCAAAGAAAACAGCCUAAGACACCAAGUCCAGUUCCUAAAUAAGGCAUAUUAAUACCUCUCAACUUCGCGUCCCUGACGGCAUCCUUGGUCUGGGGUCUGUCCUGGUGACAUGUGAGUCGUACAUGGUAAGGGGCUUCUCUCUCCCUCCACCUUGAACAAUAGUUUCUUUUAACAAUUCUUAAGAGUGUCACUUUGCAAUUAGAGAUAAGGCUCUCAUACCUAGAAAAGGUAACAUUGUGACUUAAAUUCACACUUGGAUAGAAUAAUAUCAGAUUUCUUCUAGAGAGCACGUUUGGAUGUGGAGCAGAUGAUAAGCUAUCUCUAUCACAAAUGAGGAUUAUAAAUUGUGGGCAUUAAACUUAGACCAAGGGGGUAAAGACUAGAGGGGAUUCUGAUUAAAAAAAUGAAAGCACACAUUUUUAAAGAUGUCACUAAAAGCCAUCAUAGUUGCUUUAAGAUGUAGAUGUGUUCAGCAUUUGAGGAAACGAGUUCUAUUAAUGCAAAAGUGAAGGAACUUUGAACUACGUCAAGUGUAGAUAGUUGAUGCUCAAAACACAACUCUAAAAGGCAUUGGGAUGACCGUUGUCCUUAGAAACCCUAAAAUUAUCUAAUACGAAAAAAAGUAUAAUGAGGUUAUUGGAACCUCCAAAAAAGUGUUAGUGCAAGGAAAGAAAAAGAUGAUGAAGCUUUUUGAAGACACAACUCAUGAAGAGAAAGGUCAACAGUAAACACAGGAUAAUAACCCAUGAGGAGGAAAACCAAAAUUGGUUAUUUGACUUUGGAGGUGAAAACAGGGCAGACACGCCUAAAGAUCUGUAACACCGAUGGUUGGAUUCUGCUGGAGAUAACCAUAGUCUAAAGCAGGGUGAUGACAGGUUGCAUCUCAAGGGGAAUAUUUGGUAUAUAAGCCAGUGCCAGUAGGAAUAUGAUUCCAUUUUUCCAAUCCUGUGAAAAACUCGUGGAAUUACAUGUCCGGUGUUUGUGAGAAGCCUCAGCUCUUUGUAAACCGAAAUCAUUUCACAGUCCAGCAAAGUCUAAUCAUGUGUUUAAACAACCCGUAUGGACUGAAGAAAAGAGAAGAAGGCAUUACAGACAGAAAGUGGCAACCUAGGGAAUUAAAAGCCGCACAGGGAUAGAAAUGGAGAGCCGUUUCCUGCUUGAUAGCCCUGAAAGGGGGCCUGCGGUGUGGCAGAGGGCAAUGAAUCAAAGAAAGGUCAUUUACAGGUAGUAAAGUCAAAUGUCACCUCCAAUUCUCAUGACUUGUGGUUUAGAAAAAGGUUAGCUUAAUAUAGAGACUAGUGUGGCAUUCUGAACUGUCUUAAGACAAGAUAUGUGAAAUGAUAUAACACCAUCAGUGUCUCUCCCCCUAGCAGUUAUGUUCAAAAAGCUACUUAAAACUUGAGGUCAUGGUGAGGUACUAGACACCUGGGAAAGUCCCACUUGGUAGACUAAGGAUAGCAUCAAAAGUCCUAUAAACUAUAUUAUAGAAACUGCCUCAUGGAAGACGAUUUUUGAAAUACACCAUUAUUGAGAAGUAAAUCCUAUGCAGUAUCUAUAGCACUUUGAUGACAGAACUGAUUUCAGUGAAGUUGGAGCAUCAGUGGGACUGAAAAAGCCAUAUAUAUCAUCAUCAUUAUAGGCACUUAUUUUAUGCCAGGCAUUAUGAUCAGCACGUUACAUGCAUUACCUCAUUGAACCCUCCUAGUCAUUUUUAAGAGAGGUAAUAUAAGCACCAUUUUCACAUGAAGAAAUUGAAGCUUGGAGAUAUUAUUAUCUUGUCCAGGGUCUCACAAUGUCAGAGUUGGACUCAAAAGUGUGUGUUAAGUUCUAGAAAGCCCAUAUAAUAGCCACCAUGUUAUACUGUGUCCUAAAUAGCCAAGUAUUAAUCAUACAAACCUGUUGCUGUAAUUAAAUCCAGCACUUUGUGUAACAAACUGUUGGGUAACAUACCAAUAUUUAACCACUUGAAAGGAAAACUGAAUGUCCAGUUUCUUCUAGAAGGUUAAUCAAAUGUUUUAUCACACAGAACUCUGCCAAAUCCAGUGCCUGUCUGUGUGUGGAACGUGACCUAGUUGAUGUCUAAUGCUUUAACAUUAGAUGGUCACCUGUGCCCACCUUGACCUCUUACGUCAAGUGAGUGACAUCAGAGAACCACUGAGAGAGAAUUAAAUGAUAACCACCCUAUAAAGCAUUGAGUAAUAAGACAAAGAAAUACAGACAAGAACUUAAAAUUAAAAUUCUGGACACCCAAACAUAUUUGCACUCUUGUUCGAAGGGCCUCAUGUCUGAUUCCUUGCUCUCAGAAACACAGGCAUCAUACUUCCCUGUUUUGUAAACUUCACCUGUAUGUUGUGCAAAGAAUGAAUUGCUGAUUUUCUGUGAUGAUGAUUGUGAUUUAAAUGGAUAUGGGAUUCUUAAAUGACAUUUUGGAUUUCAAGAAACAGAUUUUAUUUCUGGUGGAGAGCCGCUCUCAGUUUGUAGUGAAGGUCAAUAUGUCCGUUUUCCUAGGAUCCACUAAGUGAAGCCUGGGAAAUUAGAACUUUCUUCUCAGUGUUGAUUUACAAAUGCAGGGAAUACUGGAGUAGAGAAAACCGUACUGUUUUAGUUAGUUGUCUUCUUUCCCAGUUUGCAUAGAUAUGGAAGUUACGCAUUUCUUCUCUCAUAGCGGAUUUUUUUUUCUAAAAACAAAAAGCAGUAAUACUUAUGUCGGAUACCAGAAAUACUAUUUAUGAAGUUGAUCAAUGGCUUUGGGGGAACUUUGCUUUAGGGCAUUUGAAUAGCCUUCCCUAAUAGAUGAGCUUCCCCAAAGAUCAGGAAAUAGUCAACAGAUAAAAUGAACAUAGGAACUGGUGUGUUUAUAAUAUAGUCUUAAAAGUAAUUUAACAUUUCCUGAUAUUAUGUUAGAGAAUGAAUACUCAACAGAAGACUGGUCAAAUACUUAAGCAGUAGUCCUCUUUCUUCCUAAUCUGACAUAGAGGAGAGAGGGUGCCCCUCUCCCAAGUCUUUAGGAAUACUGCCUUCAGAGGUCCUUCCUGACGCGGGGGUGGGCUCUGCAGUCUGUGAGGCCUGGCACCAUGACACAGCCCGUCAUACAUAGAAGUCCCUGAUCAACUCAGAUCCAACACGAGCAACUUUGUGAUAUUUUCACUUUCCAAGUUAUUUUCUUAUGAAGAGAGGAUACACUUGACAAUUGUGUGGCUUUUUUCUUUAUGAGGAAAAGAUGUUUGGGGGGUGUUGUACAGCCAUUUCUUAGGAGUUUGGACAUUUUCAGUUGUCCACUUUGAGAACAAUAGCGGACCUAUGAACUUGAGCUUCUUUAACCCCUUGAGGCUAAAGGCCAGGCCCUGCACGGUGAAGCUCACUGAGGUCAUGCCAUUCUGUGCAUGACCCUUGGCAUCUGGCCAGAUUUCUCCAGACCCUGGGGGGUAUCAUGACUCAUUCUUUUGCCUGCUUGAGAACUUCAGUGAAUCACCGACCUCAACCAAGCCGGCCUACUUAAGGAGACUCCUGAGGGACAGCAGCGUUUUCCAGAAAGUCUGUCUAAAUGGAACCAUUCAGAGGUCUGAGGAAAAGCAGACCAGAGGAGCAGGAAGGAAGAGUUAGCAACACAUGCUGCCCGGAGAGAGAAUAGCAGAAAACGGAGCCGAGUUGUUGAGGAGGGAAAUGGGACGUGAGGGAGUGAAGGCUGUGGUAUGUGCAGACACUAAUUUCAAUUUUAUUAAGCUGUAAAAGGAGAGGCAGAAGCUAGUAGCUGGAGGACGACAUGAGGUUGAGGGAAUUUUGUUUCUAACAUUUCCACAUGUCUUAAUGCUGAUGAGAAGGUGUCAAGAGCAAUUAAGAUACUGAGUGUAGAAGAAAAUUGGUGAAAUGAGAUCCCUGGGGGGACAGGGAAAAACGGAUCUAGAGCACAUGUGAAAUGACUAGCCUCAGAUAGGAGAGGGGAUACCUCUUGUACUAAAUACUAAAGAGAAAGCAAGAAAGGAUGGGUACAAGUGCAAGUAAAGUUGACAUGGGAAGUUGAGGAGGGUGUGCAUAAGGUGUCGUUAUUUCUUAGAGUAAAGGGGGAAAUCACUGGAUUGAACCUGUAAGAAGAGCUUGACGCAGUUGCUUUGAAGGAACUAAACAAUAUGGAAAAAUUGAUGGGCAGAAUAGAGGUACCAGCUAAGGCUGGUGACCAACAGUAAUUCUUUGAUAUUCUCGAUACUAUAACUGAACUCAGAGUCCAGCUUUAGUCUUGGAAAACAUGACAGGAUCCAUCCAGGAUAGAAAUUUUUCCAGGUGGGGAGCAGGAAGACGUGGGAUCAAAGAAGUUUAGUUUAAUUGAAUAAAUUAAAUUUCAGUAAUGGACCAAGGAGUAAGCUCUGGAGAGAAGGAUACUAGCUGAUGGGUUACUGAUGGAUGGAGGAAAGCAGAGGGAUAUAGAGACUUUGGAUCCCAGUGAGGUUAAAGAAUUUGUCUAAGGAGGAAUAGUCAGUGAGAGAAAGGAACGUAUAGAGGACAGUGAAUAAAAACUUGAUAUUUCUGAUGGAGUACAAGAUUCUAGGAUCCUGACUAGAGGGUGGGAAAUCAUGGCAUCUAGGAGUUGGAUUAUCAGAAAAGCUGUAAGUUAAUCAGAAGAUUAUCUUGGGUCUUGAAGAACAGGAAGAUACUGAACUAGUUGAUGAAACCUUUGAAGAAAGAGUUCCUAAUAAACAUAAAUAACAGCAAAAAGGAAGGGUAGUAACAGGUAGCAGGAAAAAAGGAGCAUCAGAGGAACUGGUUUCAUACAGAAGGGUAAAUAUUGUGAAAAUCGGUUUGGGAUUGUAUAGGGUAUGCUAACCCCAUUUUCUAACCUCGAAUCAUAGAAAAAUCAGUGGUUUUCACUUACUGUAAGCAGGGUGACCAUACCAUCUGGUUUGCCAUUAACGAUCCUGACAUAAUUGUUAAUGGUACCGCCAUUUACUCUUAAAAGUGUCCUGGUUUCUUUAAGCUCUAUGUUCAUCCCACUCUAAAGGGGAGUAGUGGCCUCAAGGAAGAGCUCUUUUAUUUAGGAAAUACAUGUGUGUGUGUUUUAAUAAAUGAGAGGGUAUAGGAUGGAUUUGCUUGCUCAAUUGUUUUGCUUGAGAGAGGAGUUUCAAGGACUAUAGUAAGAAAGGUUUGGGAGGGGCUGGAGCAGUGGGAUGCUGAACCCGAGGAAAGGAGAUAGCAAGCAGUGUGUGAACUGAGCGUGUGGGAGAGAUGAGCUGACUUCACCCAGAGCUCCAGUCUGCCCUUUCCACCUUCCUACCAACUUGCUCCCUCCUUUAAUCUGGAAGCAGAUUGAUAGUCAUGCCUUCAGAGGUCAGAUAUGCCUAUUAUUAUUUAUAUCUUUACACCGCAGCCAGAGAUCGCAGCAGUUACUGUAUUACAAGGUAAAAGAUUCAAGUACGAGUCCCGUUCCUGCAGAUCCGUGGCCAUAAAAUGGCUCCUAAAUGGGAUGAUAGCCUCCUAACCUUUGCUUCCCCUUGCGCUUAGGUUUUCAGUGCUCUUCCUUCCAAGCUUUUUCUCUGCCAGCUCACCUCCAUUACUUCCUUCAAAAUUGGGGUAAGAAAACAAAGCAGCUUAAGCCUCUGGAUCAUAUGAGAACUGGUUGAUUCAUGGAAGUCACUAGAUAUUGCCAAGCAUUGUACACUGAGAGCUGAUGACAGAAGGAAUGGCUAAGUCAGAUGGCGACAAUGCCAAAAGCAAAUGGGAAUUGACAGCCUCACUAAAAGAAAAAUAUUCUUAUGUCUCUAGUCACAGCCAUAAGCUAAAACCCACCUUCAAAGACCAAUGUAACUUGUAGCCACAUUGGAAUUGAAGAUUCUUUUUUUAAAAAAAGAAAUAGCCCGACCUCCACUGAACAGAGACAUUCCCAUUACAGCAUCUUCAGAGGAGACCUUUAUGCCAAUGAAGUCAUUUGUAUUUAAGUCUGAAAAUGUAUGCUGCAAUACAACUGAGGCAUAAAGUUUAUUGAUGUAGCUUACAAAAAUGUAGAUAAAGCCAUUUUCCUGAGCUAUGGACAUUCAUCAGUCACCAUGACAAAUAUAAGUUAAAAUGAGUGAUUUUCAUUCACGUUCUAAAAAUACUCAGUCCUAUUUACAAAUAGAUUGUUCACAGGGACCCUGAAAGUAGUAAGCUUGCAGCAUCAAUUAAACAUAUGAAUCACUUAUUUAAAAAUCUAUACACAAUUUUUCAGAAGUACCUCAUGAUAAGAAAUCCUCUCUACCUAAAACCGUGGUUCACAAACUUGUUUUUCUUUUUCUGUGCCUAAGCUUUCCACAUGUUUAAUAUAGUCCCAUUUAGUUACAUAUUUCACUGCCUAAAAACAUUCUAAGCUGGACUCACUCCCCCACCCCUAGAUUCCCACUCCAUCCUAGGGACUAUCAGAGCAUUGGAAGUGUUGUAGCUGCUUGAAAAUAAUUCUCUAGAACAGUGUUUUUCAAAUGUCAGGUUGUAACCCAUCAGUAGACUAUAUAUUUAGUGUGUCAUAACCAAUAUUUUUAAAAAAUGAAAUAGAAUGGGAUAGAGUAUAUCACAUAUAAAAGGGAUAAAUAAAAAGGUAAACCUUGAUUUCACAGAUACACAUCUACCAGGUCAUCAUAUAACAUGUAUUUUUAUCCCCUAUGGAUAGCAUAGUCAAAAAAAAAAAGAUUGAAAGCCACCAUUUAAGAAAAUAGGUAAAUUAAUUGAGAUGAAUCACUUCACUGAAAUACUAUACAGCAGCUAUAAAUUACUACAUAUAUCCACAUGGAUAAAAUCUAAAAUAUUUAUGUUGGGUGAAAUAAGCCAACUGUAAAAGGAUUCUUACAUUAAUUGUUAAAAACAUUGACAACAAUAUUAUGUAUUAUUUCCUUACAUAUGCAUAUGUAGUACAAGUACAAUGAAAAGGAAAAGAAAGAUACCGCUUCCAGAAUAGGCAUAACCCCGGGUGGAGAGGAAGAAGGCUGGGAUGUACCUGCAACGUUUGGUUUCUUAUCAAAAUUCUGCAAGUCAGGAACUGUGGUUCUGCUUUACUCUGAUUGAUUUGUUUAAUUUCUCUGGUCCUUAUUUCUUCAUAUCUGGAAUGAAAGGUAAUAUCAGAGAGUGAUCAAACUGUCCAGCUAGAAGGAGAGGUGGAACUGUGUAACGAAGGUGUGUUCUAAUCAUACAACACUCAACCCAGAAAACUUAAAUAAUUUCUCAAUGUUAAGCAGCUAGUUAAUGGUAGAAGUUGGGCUAGAUAGCAGCGAGUCACCCAGAAUCACAGUCUUUCGUUUGCUACCAUUACCUGCCUCUGAUGACCGGUGGAGGGCAUGGCAUCGUUUUCUCUCGGGUGAAGUUAAGAGGUCACCAUUAUCAUCGCACUCACCAUGGGGAGUGGGCCUAGUGGACAACGGUUUUAGUGCACUGAAGGAAAGAACUGAUGCUUUGCAAAGGCCACAUUUAAAUAAAUCUGUGUAUGCUUUUAUUGUUAAAUAUUAAAAGAAGUUAAGACCACUGGUUUCGUGACCUUCCAGUUGGGUGAAGCCAUGCCUUAUCUUAACCGGUUAAUGGGAGCCAUGCCUGGUCUCCUGUAGUCCUUUUACAUAUAAAUUGGACAGCAGGCUGGUGUUCUGUUCAGAGCUGAUUUGUCGUCACUAUUAGAAGUUGAUUGUUGAUUGAUCCCCCGAUACUUCCUAAAAGAAUUUGCAGUUGCAGCAAAUUCAGAGAACAAUAAAACUAUGUCAACGUAACAGAAGCCAAGAAGCAAAGGGGAAAGAAAAGGCAUCACGAAGUUCUGGUUAUGAAAGAGUCGCACUUGAGCACAACUCUUGGUUCUGAACUCACACCAACCAGGCGAAAGACCAACUGAUCUAACUGUCUAGGAAGCCUGUGAAACGAGCCAUCAGUCCAAACUCAGACACAGAAUUUCCCAGCUCGGUGCCCCGAGAGGCCUUGGACCCAGGUGCUACUGACAGAAGUGUCCUUGGCGCCACAGUGGCUCAGAGCCCUCAGCCCAGAGGCCUAGGGGUUCAACUCCCAGCUGCAUCACUUCAUUCUCAUUUCACAGUUGGGCGAAUUUCUUACUCUCUCUGUUUCCUCAUCUGUUAAAAGUGUAUAGUAAUGAUAGAAUUUACCUGCUGAGGUUUUUUUAAAUUAAGUAAGGAUUAAGUGAGUUAAUAUUUGUAACUGAUCAAGGCUGAGAACAGCCCUAAACCCUGGUUAGGGUUAUAUUGUGUUUCUUUAAUAAAUUAAGCAACCAAAUAUUCUGAAAA